rnacentral:rRNA from 1 species
CACGUAGGCGGACUGGAAAGUUGGAGGUGAAAUCCCAGGGCUCAACCUUGGAACUGCCCUCAAAACUAUCAGUCUGGAGUUCGAGAGAGGUGAGUGGAAUUCCGAGUGUAGAGGUGAAAUUCGUAGAUAUUCGGAGGAACACCAGUGGCGAAGGCGGCUCACUGGCUCGAUACUGACGCUGAGGUGCGAAAGUGUGGGGAGCAAC